rnacentral:rRNA from 1 species
GCUUGUCUCAAAGAUUAAGCCAUGCAUGUGUAAGUAUAAGCCCUUGUACGGCGAAACUGCGAAUGGCUCAUUAAAACAGUUAUCGUUUCUUUGAUGAUCAACUUACUACUUGGAUAACUGUAGUAAUUCUAGAGCUAAUACAUGCGUCAAACCUCGACUUCUGGGAGAGGUGUAUUUAUUAGAUGGAAACCAAUGCGGGGCAACCCGGUAUAUGGUGAUUCAUAAUAACUUUCGGAUCGAUCUUCGGAUCGAUGCAUCAUUCAAGUUUCUGCCCUAUCAGCUUUGGAUGGUAGGGUAUUGGCCUACCAUGGCUUUAACGGGUAACGGAGAAUUAGGGUUCGAUUCCGGAGAGGGAGCCUGAGAAAUGGCUACCACAUCCAAGGAGGCAGCAGG